rnacentral:rRNA from 1 species
AUGCACGCUGGCGGCGUGCCUAAUACAUGCAAGUCGCGCGAACAGACGAGGAGCUUGCUCCUCUGACGUUAGCGGCGGACGGGUGAGUAACACGUGGAUAACCUACCUAUAAGACUGGGAUAACUUCGGGAAACCGGAGCUAAUACCGGAUAACAUGUUGAACCGCAUGGUUUAACAGUGAAAGACGGUCUUGCUGUCACUUAUAGAUGGAUCCGCGCCGCAUUAGCUAGUUGGUAAGGUAACGGCUUACCAAGGCAACGAUGCGUAGCCGACCUGAGAGGGUGAUCGGCCACACUGGAACUGAGACACGGUCCAGACUCCUACGGGAGGCAGCAGUAGGGAAUCUUCCGCAAUGGGCGAAAGCCUGACGGAGCAACGCCGCGCGAGUGAAGAAGGUCUUCGGAUCGUAAAACUCUGUUAUUAGGGAAGAACAAAUGUGUAAGUAACUAUGCACGUCUUGACGGUACCUAAUCAGAAAGCCACGGCUAACUACGUG